rnacentral:lncRNA from 1 species
GAGGAGAAAGGAGGAGAAAAGUAGAGAAAGGAGGAGAAAGGAGGAGAAAGGAGGGACGGAUGGGUCUGUCUCCUUCGUCACCUUCCUCGGAAUGUUCCUCACUCAAGCCUUUGGAGCACCAACGGAGCUCGACAGACACAGCGGUCCAGCUGCGGGACACGUCUCUGAAUAAACUGCCUGAGACGUACCCCACCCCUCACGCCAAACCACCCAAAUGAGUAAAAAAUAAUAAACAUUGCAUCCCGCACAUCCAGAUCCAGAAAAGAGAAUCACAGGUGGAAGGCAUCACAGUGAGUCAUCUGCUCCAACGUGCCUGGCACAGGAUUGUGUCCAGAUGGUUCUUUAAUAUCUUCAAUGAGGAAGACUCCACACCCUCUCUGGACAACCCGUUCAGUGCACGGUGUGCAACACAACUGUAUAAAGUACUUUUUGGGGUUGGGUUUUUGGGGAUUUUUUGUUUUUUAAAUGCUAACCCAUCUUUUUUAAAGCUCUGUCUCGCCGCCGGUCCUGGGACAGUGGAGGCCCCAAAUCACGGCACCCUCAGUGAGGCCCCGCUCGCUGCCCUGCGCAGCGCACGCGGCAGCACCAGCCAGAGCAGCGUGUGCCUUCCCUGCUAAAAUACAGCCCAGAUACAGCAUUUAGUGACUACAACAUCACCAAGGACAGCAGAGAACUUUCCAUGUUUUAUUUUUAUCUUUUCAUUUAUCACAGUACAAUAACGUAAGUUAACAACAAAAAAAAAAAAAUCUAGUGCCAAUUUCCACGGUGUCAAGUGCUCCACUCCAAACCAGGAAUGUCCAUUAGAAGUCAAAGUGUUGCUCCAGGCUUACAGCGACAUUACCUUCCAGAGGACUUGGUCAUGGAGGAUGCCACUAUAAUUUUGUGCUGUUUCCAGAGAGCAACCCAUCCCAUGGCUCCAGACUCCACAUUUCCCUGAGUUGGGUUUGGUUCAUCUCACACCAGCCCAGGGGAUCUGGGAGAGAAAACGGGCCAAGAGCAUGUGCAAUUCAAUUUCCAUUUUGAUAAAAGACAAAUCCUGUGGUACAUUUUGCCAGGAUGGCAAGUCCAAGGUGUGUAAACACAGCCAGAGCAACACAGCAACUGGAGGAAGACGAUGGGAUAAGUGCAACUACGGCAAAAGGGAGGAACUUCUGUUUUGACAUGAUCAUAGCAGAUUGCUGGGCUGAGGAAACGAUUCGGUAGCAAAACAGGUAUCACAAUACACCUGGACUACAGAAUCAGCUUAAGCUUGAUUAUUUAUAACUACAAAUUCUGAAGAAUAUUUAAAAUUGCCUCUUCCUUCCCUUCCUUCCACGAUUGCAGUCUGCUGCACUUUUGAAAAGCACAGACAUUUGCUUUUACUGAAUUUAAGGCUAUUAUGACAAAAAAAUGUUUACGACCCCCCUCUCCAAAACCAAAUAUAAAAGUCAAUUCACUCUAGAAUGUCUUGGAUAACUCUAAAUACAACCAUCUGUUUUCCAAAACAAAUCAACUCAUUCUAAUAUUUGGAAGACAAAACAAUUUAAACUGC